GGUCCCAUAGCUCAGUUGGUUAGAGCGUCGUACUAAUAUAUUCCUGUUCUAUGAUGGGAUAUAUUGAGUAAUGCGAAGGCCGAGAGUUCAAGCCUCUCUGGGACCA
rnacentral:tRNA from 1 species